rnacentral:lncRNA from 1 species
GUUUCUAUGGUUUGAAUUGAAAAAGUAACUGAAUGAAGUAUAUUUAGGCUUGGUUUGGUAGUAAGAUCCAUCUGAUGCUACUAGAUAAAAUGAAGUUUGGGUAAAAAUAUAUAUAUAUAUAUAGGGAUAUGCUUUUGCGUUCUCCGGUAGGACCGCAGAUAUAACCGACUCAUCGCGAUAUGCAGAACGCAAUAUUAUAUACGGAAACAAAUAAGAUAUUUUUCCAUCGUAUUUUUUCACUGCGCGUAACGCAAUCUCUCCGCAAUCCCAAACGAAACCUUAAUUGUUAACACAAUUUUCUAUAA